rnacentral:rRNA from 1 species
UAAGACAGAGGUGCCGAGCGUUAGGCGGAAUCACUGGGCUUAAAGCGUGUGUAGGCGGGUCGUUAAGUGUCUUGUGAAAUCCCCCGGCUCAACCGGGGAAUGGCUGGGCAUACUGGCGAUCUUGAGCAGUUCAGGGGCAGAUGGAACAAGUGGUGGAGCGGUGAAAUGCGUAGAUAUCACUUGGAACGCCAACGGUGAAGACAGUCUGCUGGGAACUUGCUGACGCUGAGACACGAAAGCCAGGGGAGCGAACGGGAUUAGAUACCCCGGUAGUCCUGGCCCUAAACGAUGUCGACUAGAUCGUGGAACCUCUGACGGUUUCGCGGUCGCAGCAAAAGUGCUAAGUCGACCGCCUGGGAAGUACGGUCGCAAGGCUA